rnacentral:rRNA from 1 species
AUUGAACGCUGGCGGCAUGCCUUACACAUGCAAGUCGAACGGUAACAGGUCUUCGGAUGCUGACGAGUGGCGAACGGGUGAGUAAUACAUCGGAACGUGCCCGAUCGUGGGGGAUAACGAGGCGAAAGCUUUGCUAAUACCGCAUACGAUCUACGGAUGAAAGCGGGGGAUCUUCGGACCUCGCGCGGACGGAGCGGCCGAUGGCAGAUUAGGUAGUUGGUGGGAUAAAAGCUUACCAAGCCGACGAUCUGUAGCUGGUCUGAGAGGAUGAUCAGCCACACUGGGAGUGAGACACGGCCCAGACUCCUACGGGAGGCAGCAGUGGGGAAUUUUGGACAAUGGGCGAAAGCCUGAUCCAGCCAUGCCGCGUGCAGGAUGAAGGCCUUCGGGUUGUAAACUGCUUUUGUACGGAACGAAAAGCCUCUUUCUAAUAAAGAGGGGUCAUGACGGUACCGUAAGAAUAAGCACCGGCUAACUACGUG